CAUGUAGGCGGCAUGACAAGUCUGGUGUGAAAUAUCUCGGCUCAACCGAGAAAACGCACUGGAAACUGUCAAGCUUGAGUAUCGGAGGGGAAGCUAGAAUUCCUGGUGUAGGGGUGAAAUCUGUAGAUAUCAGGAAGAAUACCGGUGGCGAAGGCGAGCUUCUGGCCAGAUACUGACGCAGAGAUGCGAAAGCGUGGGGAGCGAACAGGAUUAGAUACCCUGGUAGUCC
rnacentral:rRNA from 1 species